GAUGAACGCUAGCGGAAGGCUUAAUACAUGCAAGUCGAGCGGUAGGUGGCUUCGGCCAUUGAGAGCGGCGCACGGGUGAGUAACGCGUACAUGACCUGCCUGUCAGAAGGGGAUAGCCCUGGGAAACUGGGAUUAAUACCCUAUGGUAUUGAUAUUAUGAAUGAUAUCAAUUAAAGUUGAGGCGCUGACAGAUGGAUGUGCGUCUGAUUAGCUAGUUGGUAGGGUAGCGGCCUACCAAGGCGACGAUCAGUAGGGGGCGUGAGAGCGUGGUCCCCCACACGGGUACUGAGACACGGACCCGACUCCUACGGGAGGCAGCAGUAAGGAAUAUUGGUCAAUGCCCGCAAGGGUGAACCAGCCAUUCCGCGUGGAGGAUGAAGGCCCUAUGGUUGUAAACUUCUUUAGAUGGGAAGAAAUGCUAGAUGUAUCUGGUACUGACGGUACCAUCAGAAUAAGCACGGCUAACUCCGUGCCAGCAGCCG
rnacentral:rRNA from 1 species